CACUUUCCACGGAGCUGCCCUCAGCAAGCAGAGGAUGGAUGCAGUUUGCCUGUCUCCUGAGACCUGUGGGGAGCAGAAGAGGAGUGUGUGAUGAAGCCUUGAUAUUUUCCAUUUGAAGGUGCCAUCCAGCCAGGUCCACCCCGUGACGACGGCAGGGGGCUCGGAGCGUGGCCGAGACGUGCGGGGCGAGGACGUGGGUAUUCUUAGGAGACGCUGAGGAAGAGACACCAGCCCGGUGGUGGCAGGACAUUCCCAGAGGGCAAGGCGGCGUUCCUUGGCACUGAUGUGGACGGUGAUCACCGGACCUCCCAGAGCUAAGUGGAGGGCUCGAGGCACAGAGGGGAUGAGAGCAGGGUGCUGGGUUGGGAGUUGCUGGGGGGGAUUGAGUUCAGUAUGGAUCUGGAGAUGUGCAGGAUGUGAGUGCUUAGGGCACAUGAAAGGCAAGUGUCAUUUCUGAUUGUAAUGCUGAGACAGGCAGGGCAGAGCAGUCCCGGGCACAUGGUGUCUGUUGUCCACUCUGUGUGUGUCAGGCAUCUCAUCUUUCACGUCUUUUCCCAUAGCCCCUCAAGGGGCCUGUGGGGAAUCCUGGGAUCACUGUUAGCAUUUCUGCUGUCUGCCUUCCUGGCUCCAGUGGCUUUGACUGGAGAGCUGGUACUUAGAUCUGAACCUCAUCUCUGUUCAGAGUCAUCCAGUGCGAUGUCUUUUGAGGUCUUGUUGUGAGCUGUACAGACAGCCGUGCCCCGCCACGAUCCAUUUUGGCGGGUUAGGACUUGUUAGAAGUCCAAGCUAGGUCUGGGCUUGUGACCAGAGGAGCGUCGGGCAUCCAUCUUUGUGAUUCUCAGAAGGCAUCAUCUUGUUGGCAUCAUCUUGUUAGCAUCCUCUUCUUGUAGGGUUCUGUGAGCCUGGCCAGCUCACCUUUUUUAUUCCGUUUGUCAUCUCAUUCUGAGUUCUGUCGGUCCUCGCGGUCGUUCUUCUUGCGGUGAGCUUUUUGUUGUUGUGGUGUCCCCUGGUUUGUGGUGUCCGAUGUGACGGGUGUUGGUGUGGCUUUGUCCCGGAGCUGCUCUGCCCUGCCGCAUGGGUGGGUGUAGGGGUAAUAGAAGAAGCCCCUGGGGCCUGAAGUGGGUGAUGUCAGUUGGAGUUGUGGUGUGGAGGGCAUUCUCGGUUGGCAGCACGUGUCUGUCGCUGUCAAAUUCCCGUGCUGCAGUGUGACUAUUUUCCUGACUUUGUUUCAGAUGCAGAUGGAUUCAAUCCAUGGUAGAGCGCCUCAUCCUGGGUGAGGGGGUUCCUCUGUGAAGGUGUAAGUCACUGUCUUUGCUGGGGUAGUGCAAAUAGUGACUGUGUAAGAGCUUUUUUUUUUCUCUUUACUUUCAGGAAGUGAUGGUCGAUGUCAGCUGUCAAGGUGAAGUGGAGCAGGUGAACCGUGAUUGUUGGAGAGAAGCAGUUGCUAUUGCUGAAGUCUUACUUGAUCAUGCAUGUCUAAGCAUCCCCUUUUGUGUUUUAUGGGGUCUGCUUGCAUGACGCCAUUCUGUCACGAACUAGGUGCUGGUUUCUGUUUGGAAUUUAGUGUGGAGAAUCUUUCUGUGGAGAAUUUUUCUGAUGCAUGGCUGCACAG